rnacentral:rRNA from 1 species
AGAUUGAACGCUGGCGGCAGGCCUAACACAUGCAAGUCGAACGGUAACAGGAAGCAGCUUGCUGCUUUGCUGACGAGUGGCGGACGGGUGAGUAAUGUCUGGGAAACUGCCUGAUGGAGGGGGAUAACUACUGGAAACGGUGGCUAAUACCGCAUAACGUCGCAAGACCAAAGAGGGGGACCUUCGGGCCUCUUGCCAUCAGAUGUGCCCAGAUGGGAUUAGCUUGUUGGUGAGGUAACGGCUCACCAAGGCGACGAUCCCUAGCUGGUCUGAGAGGAUGACCAGCCACACUGGAACUGAGACACGGUCCAGACUCCUACGGGAGGCAGCAGUGGGGAAUAUUGCACAAUGGGCGCAAGCCUGAUGCAGCCAUGCCGCGUGUAUGAAGAAGGCCUUCGGGUUGUAAAGUACUUUCAGCGGGGAGGAAGGUGUUGUGGUUAAUAACCGCAGCAAUUGACGUUACCCGCAGAAGAAGCACCGGCUAACUCCGUGCCAGCAGCCGCGGUAAUACGGAGGGUGCAAGCGUUAAUCGGAAUUACUGGGCGUAAAGCGCACGCAGGCGGUCUGUCAAGUCGGAUGUGAAAUCCCCGGGCUCAACCUGGGAACUGCAUUCGAAACUGGCAGGCUUGAGUCUUGUAGAGGGGGGUAGAAUUCCAGGUGUAGCGGUGAAAUGCGUAGAGAUCUGGAGGAAUACCGGUGGCGAAGGCGGCCCCCUGGACAAAGACUGACGCUCAGGUGC